rnacentral:rRNA from 1 species
GACGAACGCUGGCGGCGUGCUUAACACAUGCAAGUCGAACGGAAAGGCCCUGCUUUUGUGGGGUGCUCGAGUGGCGAACGGGUGAGUGACACGUGAGUAACCUGCCCUUGACUUUGGGAUAACUUCAGGGAACUGGGGCUAAUACCGGAUAGGAGCUCCUGCUGCAUGGUGGGGGUUGGAAAGUUUCGGCGGUUGGGGAU